UAAUUUUUCCCAGAACGUCUUAUAAAAUUCUAAUGUUAAACCAUCUAGACCCGGUGAUUUAUUUAACUUCAUCGUGUUAAUAGCUUUAGUACAUUCAUCUAUAGUAACCUCCCCAUCACAAAUUUUAAAGUCAUUUACAUUUAUCUCCCUUUCCAUAACAGUAUCACCUACAUAUUUAUGCAGUAGAUCUUUAUCUGGAGCCGUGGUUGUAUAUAAUAUUUUAUAAUAGUUUUUAAUCAUUUUUAAAAUUUGUUCUUGAUUUGUUGUUACCUCGUUAUUUUCAUUUUUGAGUUUGUUAAUAGAUUUUUUUACCUGUCGCUGUUUUUCUAAUCCCAGAAAAUAAGAAUUAUUCUUUUCCCCUAGCUCUAUCCAUUUCUCCCUUGAUCUAAUUUGAGCCCCCUUUGCUUUAUAUUCAUAAAUUGUGUCUAAUUGUAAUUCUAAUUGUUUUAUAUUAUUUGUAAGUGUUUCAUCUUCGUUUAAUUGUUCAUCUCUGAUUGUCGUUAAGUGUUCUAAUUCGCUUUCUAAUUUUCUUGUUGUCUCCCUUGAUAAUUUCGAUUUUCUUUUACAGUAUAAAAUAGAUUCGUCUCUAAUUUCAACUUUUAGAUUGUCCCAUAAUAGACGGAUAUCGCUACUGUCAUUAUUGAUUAUACGAUUUUCGAACUGAUUUAUUACUCUGUUGAUUGUUUUUUUAUAUUCAAUAUCCUUUAAAAUAGAAUUAUUUAGUUUCCAGUAUCCAUUCCCUCUUUCUGAAGCCCCUGUCUUAAAGUUUAAAACUAUCCCUUGAUGGUCAGUCACUUUAAUCAGUGCCGGUUUAAUUUUACAAUAUUCAACGAGAGACUGAAAUUCUUUUGCAAUUAAAAUU
rnacentral:lncRNA from 1 species